AAAUUAAAAUCCUUACAUGCAAAUGCCAUCAAAAGGACUUUUCCAAGGCUUGAAAUGAGGUUGGGUUAACAAGAAAAAUUGGUUUUUCCAGAAAGCAAAAUCCUUGAGCUAAGAGAGCUAUCAUAGUAUUCAACAUUUAAGCACAACUCUCUUCCUCACCAAUCUCACUUAUUCCCAACUUUUUCCCUUUCCCUUUUCAUUGAGCUCAUCUUCAUGCUUAUUCUUCUUUUCUUUUCUUUUUCUCAUGCAUUUUUCUUUUUCAACAAUUGAGCUCGAUGCUUCUUAACAACUUUUCAAUUUCCCCCAUGCAACGCCAAACUUGAACCUUUUCAUCAUAUAAAGUUAAGCUCAUCUCAACU
rnacentral:lncRNA from 1 species